rnacentral:rRNA from 1 species
UGCUUUACACAUGCAAGUCGGACCGCAGCAUAACUUUCGGGUUGAUGGCGAGUGGCGAACGGGUGAGUAAUACAUCGGAACAUGCCAUGUAGUUGGGGAUAACUCAUCGAAAGAUGAGCUAAUACCGGAUAAUCUCUGAGGAGGAAAGCUGGGGACUAGAAAUGGCCUGGCGCUAUAUGAGUGGCCGAUGGUCGAUUAGCUAGUUGGUGGGGUAAAAGCGUACCAAGGCGAUGAUCGAUAGCUGUUCUGAGAGGAAGAUCAGCCACACUGGGACUGAGACACGGCCCAGACUCCUACGGGAGGCAGCAGUGGGGAAUUUUGGACAAUGGGGGCAACCCUGAUCCAGCAACGCCGCGUGAAUGAAGAAGGCCUUAGGGUUGUAAAGUUC